UACCAGCACCCCGAGUGGUCGGGACGAUUAUUGGGCCUAAAGCAUCCGUAGCCGGCCUUACAAGUCCUCCGUUAAAUCCAGCUGCUUAACAGAUGGGCUGCGGAGGAUACUAUAGAGCUAGGAGGCGGGAGAGGCAAGCGGUACUCGAUGGGUAGGGGUAAAAUCCGUUGAUCCAUUGAAGACCACCAGUGGCGAAGGCGGCUUGCCAGAACGCGCUCGACGGUGAGGGAUGAAAGCUGGGGGAGCAAGCCGG
rnacentral:rRNA from 1 species